rnacentral:rRNA from 1 species
UGAGCAAUCUGCCCUUCUCUUCGGAAUAAGCGUUGGAAACGACGUCUAAUGCCGAAUACGACCUCCUUUCGCAUGAUCGGAGGUGGAAAGCUCCGGCGGAGAAGGAUGAGCUCGCGGCCUACCAGCUAGUUGGUGUGGGUAAUGGCCCACCAAGGCGACGACGGGUAGCCGGCCUGAGAGGGUGACCGGCCACACUGGGACUGAGACACGGCCCAGACUCCUACGGGAGCAGCAGG